rnacentral:lncRNA from 1 species
CUAAGAGGAAGAAAUCACGAUCACUAUGUUCUAACGCAGAAUAUCUAUGCAAGAGCUAUAUUGAUGAUCAUAAGAGUGAUGAUCAGUUGUGUCUAAAACCCGUCAAGGAAGAAGCUAAAGAUGGUGUUUAUGAUGAAACCUUGUAUGAGACUCCUCCAUGCAAGAAAGCUAGGAGGACUAAAUCACAAUCACAAUGUUCUAAAAUUGAAUAUCCAUGCAAGAGCCAUAUUGAAGAUCACAAGAGUGAAGAUCAAGUGAGUCUAAAACCCGUCAAAGAAGAAGCUAAAGAUGAUGUUUGUGAUAAAACCUUGUAUGAGACUCCUCCAUGCAAGGAAACUAGGAAGAAGAAACCGCAAUCACAAUGUUCU